GCAGUCACCGCCAACUGGAGCUUCUAACCCCUUUUCGCUUGCUUCUCAAACGCUGCAACCAGACGCUUUCCUCAUCGAAACGCCAUUGAUGGCACCCUUCUAUCCCAAUUCGGAACCCUAUUCAGACCUUUUCGUCACUUACUCCUCUCAAAAAGACGCAUCAUCCAGACCAAGUGCGCUUUCCUUGUGUAAGAACUGCUUUCGGUGGUAUAAAUGCAUCUGUUGUUUAAAUAGGUACGACCAUCAGGUAGCCAGCAGCCCUGUGUCGCUGUCUCAGUAUUGUUCAGCCCUAAUUCCUUCAAGUCUGUCGUUCUGCUGGACAAGCUUUUGACAGGUAAGUUGUAAACCCUAAGUAUAAAUUCUGAAAUUACUUGGGUUUUGUUGUCUACAUGUGGAAAUUUGGGUUCUUGCACAUCAAAUUACCUCAUACACACAUGGUAUGUCAUCAGCAUAAUCAUUCAUAUGCAUAUUUGUUGAUUCUAGAAUCAAAUAUGUUAUCUGCACUUUCUAAUUUUUGAUGAAUUAUAGAUUAGUGACUUCCAUUCCUUUUAUUAGGCUCAAUCCAGGAAGAUUGGAAGUUCUUGGGAUGUUCACGUUAGAAUGUGUUGCUUACAGGCAGAUUGGAAGUUCCUGGGACAUCAUUUUCUUAUAUUAUAAAAAAAAUUUAUCAACAAAAGGCUAAUAUUUGGUUUUUUUUAUAAAAUUGUUUAAUGCAGGAACAUCUGAAAAAAGGCUAUUUCUAUUGACGAAAUGGUAGUUAUAGAUAUUAAAACCAAAUGUGGAGAUCAAGACGGUGAACCACGAAUACAGGACGAGUGUUAACAAAUUGUAAGCAACUUAUGACUCUGGAAUUGGACCAAAGAAGGAGUGUUACUCAUUAUAUGGUCGCUGUUUUGAGAUCAAAGAG